rnacentral:lncRNA from 1 species
UACCCCAUCCUGGUACAAUCGAGCACGCAAGAAGCAGGCGUGCAGCCAUGGUCCGAAAUAAUGAUGACACAAUCGUCUGCAGUCACCUUGGGCACCACCAUCUCAACUAAAAAAAUACAUCACAACUUGCAAGCGUCACAUUUGAUACAACAUGAAGGGAAAGAAUGCAUGCAUGACAAACACGUAAACAUGCCCAUAGGUACAUACA